rnacentral:rRNA from 1 species
UACGUAGGGGGCAAGCGUUGUCCGGAUUUAUUGGGCGUAAAGAGCGUGUAGGCGGUCCGGUAAGUCCGCUGUGAAAGUCCAGGGCUCAACCCUGGAAUGCCGGUGGAUACUGCCGGGCUAGAGUCCGGAAGAGGCGAGUGGAAUUCCUGGUGUAGCGGUGAAAUGCGCAGAUAUCAGGAGGAACACCGAUGGCGAAGGCAGCUCGCUGGGACGGUACUGACGCUGAGACGCGAAAGCGUGGGGAGCAAACAGG